rnacentral:snoRNA from 1 species
CUGCAAAUAUUGUCGCUGUCCUGAUAGUUCAAUGAUCAGGCUAGUCACUUGCUAUAUUAAAACUCUGCAAUGUGUCCCCAGGAAUUGCUUAUUUCUCUAGUUUUGUGUUUGGCUAGUGACAUAU